CCUACGGGAGGCAGCAGUGAGGAAUAUUGGGCAAUGGGCGAAAGCCUGACCCAGCAAAGUAGCGUGAAGGAUGACUGCCUUAGGGGUUGUAAACUCUUUUUAUAAAGGAAUACAGUGGGGCACGUGAGCCUUUUCGACUGUACGGUAUGAAAACGGAUCGGCAAACCCCGGUACAGCAGCCGCGGUAAUACGGAGGUUCGGAGCGUUACCCGGUUUGUUUGGGUUUAAAGGGAGCGUAGAGGGGUUGUUAAGUCAGGUGUGAAAGUUUGCGGCUCAACCGUAAAAUUGUAAUUGAUACUGGCGACCUUGAGUGCAGUUGAGGUAGGCGGAAUUCGUGGUGUAGCGGUGAAAUGCAUAGAUAUCACGAAGAACUCCGAUUGCGAAGGCAGCUUACUGGUCUGCCACUGACGUUGAGGCUCGAAAGUGUGGGUAUCAAACAGGAUUAGAUACCCGAGUAGUC
rnacentral:rRNA from 1 species